CAGCACUUCACAAAAACGAUAAGCAUUGUUGAGGAAUUCGACAACAUCAAUGACCACUGGCUGCCUUUAAGCCUGAAUUCAGUUACCACAGGGGUCUGAGCAAAUGAUUUACAGAACCGAGAAACAAAGGACUGUAGAUGCUGGAAUCCAGAUGAAAAACACUCUGAUGCUGGAGGAACUCAGCAGGCCAGGCAGCAUCCGUGGAGAAAAGCAGGCGGUCAACGUUUCGGGUCAGGACCCUUCUUCAGGACUGAAGUUUACACACUAGGGGCGAUUUACAAUGGCCUAUUAACCUACCAACCCGCAUAUUAUUGGAGACACAGGAGACUGCAGACGCUGGAAUCUGGAGCAACAAACAAUCUGCUGGAGGAACUCAGCGGGUCGAGCAGCAUCUGUGGGGGGAAAGGAACUGUCGACAUUUCAGGUCAAAACCCUGCAUCAGGACAACACCGGCACCCUGGACACUUGACAGAGACACAAGAAAUUCUGCAGAUGCUGGAAUCUAGAAAAAUACAUAAAAGGUGCUGGAGGAACUCAGCAGGUCAGGCAGCAUCUAUAGAGGGAAAUAAACAGUCAACGUUUCCGGCCGAGACCCUUCAUCUCAUCUGCCUUUACCAAUGAUCAGGACCCUUUCUGAUCUACAUAUUCUGGCUUUUAUUUCUCUUAUAGCCAGGAGGGCUAUGUUGCUUAAAUGGGAGGAAGUCACUCCGCCUACUCAUGCUCAAUGGUUACGGGAUGUUAUGUCAUACCUGAAUUUAGAGAUGAUCCGCUGUUCAAUUUCUGAAUCUAACUUAGACUUUCAAACAUUGUGGGGACCUUUUUUCUUUCUUUUUCAAUCCUUUUAUUAAUUUUCAAAUUAAUACAGAAUAAUACAUAUAACAUCGGUAAUUAUACACAGAAUACAAAGAGAUCGG